rnacentral:rRNA from 1 species
GACGAACGCUGGCGGCGUGCCUAAUACAUGCAAGUUGAGCGCUGAAGGUUGGUACUUGUACCAACUGGAUGAGCAGCGAACGGGUGAGUAACGCGUGGGGAAUCUGCCUUUGAGCGGGGGACAACAUUUGGAAACGAAUGCUAAUACCGCAUAAAAACUUUAAACACAAGUUUUAAGUUUGAAAGAUGCAAUUGCAUCACUCAAAGAUGAUCCCGCGUUGUAUUAGCUAGUUGGUGAGGUAAAGGCUCACCAAGGCGAUGAUACAUAGCCGACCUGAGAGGGUGAUCGGCCACAGUGGGACUGAGACACGGCCCAAACUCCUACGGGAGGCAGCAGUAGGGAAUCUUCGGCAAUGGACGAAAGUCUGACCGAGCAACGCCGCGUGAGUGAAGAAGGGUUUCGGAUCGUAAAACUCUGUUGGUAGAGAAGAACGUUGGUGAGAGUGGGAAGCUCAUCAAGUGACGGUAACUACCCAGAAAGGGACGGCUAACUACGUG